rnacentral:lncRNA from 1 species
CCAACUAAAAUUGACACGAACAAUACAGGCAUGUAUUAUCUCACAUCGCAAACCGGAAGUGCCCCAGUAUCAUCAUUGGGGGCCCCGGAUCUUUCCUUCCUUCUGUUCUUCCAUCCUCAGCAGACUGGCUUUCACCCUCAGGUUGUGCUCCAUGGUCAUGGGAUGACUGCCACAGCUGCGGGCAUCAUUCUCUCACAACCAUGGUCCAAGGAGGAAAAGGAUCUUACUAUGUAGUUCAGGCUGGCCUUGAACUCACUCUGUGUCCCAAGAUAGCCUCGAACUCAUGGCAGUCCUUUUGUCUCAGCCUCCUGAGUGCUGGGAUUACAGUUGCCCCGGACACCUCCCAGGCAGCCACAGUUACAUCAUACACAUCAUGGUUGCUCUGGGAGACAUUUGCUUGGCUGGUACAAGCUUUGGUCACAAGUCCAUCCCAAAUGACUCCACCCCACAGCUCUUCAGAUACUGCCUCUCUGCAGCCCUCCUCAAUCAGGGUCUCACUUUGUAGUUCAGGCUGGCCUCAAAUUUGCAGCAAUACUCCUGCCUCAGCCUCCCAACUGCUGGGAUUACAGGUCCAUGUGCAAGGGGCUGAGGACAGCUGCCAGCCAAAACCCAUCAAAGAACUGAGACCCACAGUCCAACAGCUGCUGAGGAACUGAAUUCCCAUAACCAUAUGAGUUUAAAGGCAGGCCCUGCUUCAGCCGAGCCUUCAGAUGAGACCUCUACGCUGGCUGAUCCCUUGACUGCUGCCUUGUAAACCAGAGAAUGCAUUUAAGCCCAUAUCCAGGUUCCUGACCCACAGAAACUCUGAGGUAAUAAAUGUGUUAUUGUAAGCUGCCAAACUUUGGGAUAAUUUGUUAUGCAAACAACAGAUGACUAAUACAACUGUUUAAUUUUCUCUUAAAUUUAUAC